AGAAUCAACGCUGGCGGCGUGCCUAACACAUGCAAGUCGCACGAGAAAGGGGAGCAAUCCCUGAGUAAAGUGGCGCACGGGUGAGUAACACGUGAAUAAUCUACCUCCGAGUGGGGAAUAACUGAGAGAAAUCUUAGCUAAUACCGCAUAACACUUACGAGUCAAAGCAGCAAUGCGCUUGGAGAGGAGUUCGCGGCCGAUUAGUUAGUUGGCGGGGUAAUGGCCCACCAAGACGAUGAUCGGUAUCCGGCCUGAGAGGGCGCACGGACACACUGGAACUGAAACACGGUCCAGACUCCUACGGGAGGCAGCAGUGGGGAAUUUUGCGCAAGUGGGGGAAACCCUGACGCAGCAACGCCGCGUGGAGGAUGAAGCCCCUUGGGGUGUAAACUCCUUUCGAUCGGGAAGAUAAUGACGGUACCGAUAUAAGAAGCCCGGCUAACUUCGCGCCAGCAGCCGC
rnacentral:rRNA from 1 species